ACCGGAUAGUUUUUUCCUCCGCAUGGAGGAAAAAGGAAAGACGGCUUCUGCUGUCACUUACAGAUGGGCCCGCGGCGCAUUAGCUAGUUGGUGGGGUAACGGCUCACCAAGGCAACGAUGCGUAGCCGACCUGAGAGGGUGAUCGGCCACAUUGGGACUGAGACACGGCCCAAACUCCUACGGGAGGCAGCAGUAGGGAAUCUUCCGCAAUGGACGAAAGUCUGACGGAGCAACGCCGCGUGAGUGAAGAAGGCCUUCGGGUCGUAAAACUCUGUUGCCGGGGAAGAACAAGUGCCGUUCGAACAGGGCGGCGCCUUGACGGUACCCGGCCAGAAAGCCACGGCUAACUACGUGCCAGCAGCCGCGGUAAUACGUAGGUGGCAAGCGUUGUCCGGAAUUAUUGGGCGUAAAGCGCGCGCAGGCGGCUUCUUAAGUCUGAUGUGAAAUCUUGCGGCUCAACCGCAAGCGGUCAUUGGAAACUGGGAGGCUUGAGUGCAGAAGAGGAGAGUGGAAUUCCACGUGUAGCGGUGAAAUGCGUAGAGAUGUGGAGGAACACCAGUGGCGAAGGCGGCUCUCUGGUCUGUAACUGACGCUGAGGCGCGAAAGCGUGGGGAGCAAACAGGAUUAGAUACCCUGGUAGUCCACGCCGUAAACGAUGAGUGCUAAGUGUUAGAGGGUUUCCGCCCUUUAGUGCUGCAGCUAACGCAUUAAGCACUCCGCCUGGGGAGUACGGCCGCAAGGCUGAAACUCAAAGGAAUUGACGGGGGCCCGCACAAGCGGUGGAGCAUGUGGUUUAAUUCGAAGCAACGCGAAGAACCUUACCAGGUCUUGACAUCCUCUGACCUCCCUGGAGACAGGGCCUUCCCCUUCGGGGGACAGAGUGACAGGUGGUGCAUGGUUGUCGUCAGCUCGUGUCGUGAGAUGUUGGGUUAAGUCCCGCAACGAGCGCAACCCUUGACCUUAGUUGCCAGCAUUCAGUUGGGCACUCUAAGGUGACUGCCGGUGACAAACCGGAGGAAGGUGGGGAUGACGUCAAAUCAUCAUGCCCCUUAUGACCUGGGCUACACACGUGCUACAAUGGAUGGUACAAAGGGCUGUCGAGACCGCGAGGUUAAGCCAAUCCCAGAAAACCAUUCCCAGUUCGGAUUGCAGGCUGCAACCCGCCUGCAUGAAGCCGGAAUCGCUAGUAAUCGCGGAUCAGCAUGCCGCGGUGAAUAC
rnacentral:rRNA from 2 species